UUUUCGGCAAUGGGGGGAACCCUGACCGAGCAACGCCGCGUGAAGGAAGAAGGAAUUUGCUCUGUAAACUUCUGUUAUAAAGGAAGAAAGACGGAUGGAGGAAAUGACAUCCGUGUGACGGUACUUAAUGCGAAAGCUACGGCUAAAUACGCGCCAGCAGCAGCGGUAAUACGUAGGUGGCAAGCGUUAUCCGGAAUUAUUGGGCGUAAAGAGGGAGCAGGCGGCAGCAAAGGUCUGUGGUGAAAGACUGAAGCUUAACUUCAGUAAGCCAUAGAAACCGGGCAGCUAGAGUGCAGGAGAGGAUCGUGGAAUUCCAUGUGUAGCGGUGAAAUGCGUAGAUAUAUGGAGGAACACCAGUGGCGAAGGCGACGAUCUGGCCUGCAACUGACGCUCAGUCCCGAAAGCGUGGGGAGCAAAUAG
rnacentral:rRNA from 1 species